rnacentral:rRNA from 1 species
AGAGUUUGAUCCUGGCUCAGAACGAACGUUGGCGGCGUGGAUUAGGCAUGCAAGUCGAACGAAUCCCGGUGGGGGUAACUCUGCCGGGGGAAGUGGCGAAAGGGGCAGUAAGGCGUGGACAACCUGCCUUGGGGACGGGGAUAGCCCUCCUAACGGAGGGGUAAUACCCGGCGACCCGCGGGCGCGGCAUCGUGCCGGCG